GAACAGCCAUCUCAACCAGCCAGCAGGAGCCUGGAGUUCAGAGAGCUCGGCGCUCCAAUGCACACCACAUACCCGGAGCUGCCGCCUUUGGCCAGUGUCCAUCCCCAGCCUCCCAAGCUUGGCCCAAGCCCCCUGGCCUUUGUGGGGCUGAACCCACCACUGAGCACACCCAACAUGCCCUCAUCCCACAGUUCCCUGCCUCCCCCACCUCUGAGCCCAGCACCCCGCAGAGGCCUGAUGAGGGCACAGGCUCAGUAAACACGGGUGGAACUGCGCUGAUUGAAGGUUGGAGACUGUCUUGAAUUAAACCACGAUGGAUGACUCUUUUAAAGCAGGGGAAUGAAAGAAGAAGAAAGUAAAGCUGACAUGAGUAACCUUAGGCUUUCAGCAGGCCCAAUUUAACAGUUCGAGAAGUUGCCACUAUCGAACAAUAAUUCUUACCUGCGAAGCGCCCUGGUCUAAUGCUGGGCAAAGUCCUCUGAGCUGUGCUAAGCCAGUUCCCUGCCUUUACAGGUCUUACGUCUUAAACCUUUGAAAGUAAAUGUCAAAUAUAUUACACUCCUGGGGCACGACUCUCACUGGCCACAUUUCUGGAAUACCUGAGACUAAAUAGCCAAACUUCAAAUGGAUUCAACCAACUGGUUGAGUAUCUACAAGAAGAAUUGGAUAAUGCCCUUCUCCUUGAGGAAGACAUGGGAUGAAACAUUGACUGUUGGGAUGGAUUAGGGUAAAGGCUUUACUGAAAGGAUGUAAGAAUUGCCACAUUCCUCCCACUUGGCCAGUGACGUGCGGCUGUCAGCACAGGGAGCUGCAACCGCCUGCCCCUGUGUCGGCGUGAGGGGCCCCUCGUGGCAUCUUCCAAAUGCUAUGGAACACUUUGCUCCCACUCCACCCGCCCCGCCCUCCAAUGCCUUCGUAUUUCUCUCAUGUGCUUUUGUCUUUUUUCCUUUCCUUUUCUCCCUUACAUAUCCAACUGACACCUUGUCCACUUUGCUGCAAUUACUAAUUCAUGGAUUGAUUAAAUCAUCUACUCCACAGAUACUUACAGAUGAGCUGCUGUGUGCAGUGUUCACGGAAGGCACUGCGGAAUUGGGAUCGGGCGCCUGCCCCGAAAUCCCACACAAAGGGGACAGCAGGAGGAGGCCGCUCAGCUGCGGGAAUGGGACGGGGAAAGGGAGGUUUCAAGGCCAAGUGGAAGAAGUGGCGGUGGGGGAAGGUAUUCCAGGUGGGCACACUGUCACCCACUCAUUCACACCAUCCACACUGCCCAG
rnacentral:lncRNA from 1 species